UACGUAGGGUGCAAGCGUUGUCCGGAAUCAUUGGGCGUAAAGAGCGUGUAGGCGGCUCGGUAAGUCCGCUGUAAAAGUCCAGGGCUCAACCCUGGGAUGCCGGUGGAAACUGUCGGGCUAGAGUCCGGGAGAGGCGAGUGGAAUUCCUGGUGUAGCGGUGAAAUGCGCAGAUAUCAGGAGGAACACCAAUGGCGAAGGCAGCUCGCUGGAACGGUACUGACGCUGAGACGCGAAAGCGUGGGGAGCAAACAGG
rnacentral:misc_RNA from 1 species